rnacentral:misc_RNA from 1 species
GUGAGUCAUCGAAUCUUUGAACGCACAUUGCGCCCCCUGGCAUUCCGGGGGGCACACCUGUUCGAGCGCCAUUUCGACCCUCAAGCAUGGCUUGGUGUUGGGCGCGGUCCCCGACGCACGUCAGGACCCGCCCGUAACUCGUAGGCGGCCGCCGCCCGCGCCCCCAGCGUAGCAAGCUCACGCGUUCGCUCGGGGCUGGCGCGCCGUGCCCGCCACACAACACUUCUCCGUUUGGCCUCGGAUCAGGUGGGGAUACCCGCUGAACUUAAGCAUAUCAAUAAGCGGAGGA